GUUUAGAGUUGCCACUUGGGAUAGGCUUGGCUUUUGGUGUCCCAAGUCACCGGUUUGUUUUGAAUCCCAGAUCGAGGAAAUUUCGACUGCCCAACUGGAGUCUGCGAACCAGAAAUUCUAAGUGAAGAAUUCUGUUGACCCGAGGAAAGGUGUUAGGCCCCCGGAUGCAGUGGUUCUAGGACGGUUGUUUAAACUAUUAUAAUUGGCCAGGAAUCUGAUUUUUA
rnacentral:lncRNA from 1 species